AAUGACGCUUCGGUUGAUUUUCCAAGCGGACAGCGGCGGACGGGUGAGUAACGCGUAGGCAACCUGCCCCUGACAGAGGGAUAGCCAUUGGAAACGAUGAUUAAAACCUCAUGACACCGUAGUAGCACAUGCUACAUCGGUCAAAGAUUUAUCGGUCAGGGAUGGGCCUGCGUCUGAUUAACUGGUUGGUGAGGUAACGGCUCACCAAGGUGACGAUCAGUGGCCGACCUGAGAGGGUGAUCGGCCACAUUGGAACUGAGACACGGUCCAAACUUCUACGGAAGGCAGCAGUAGGGAAUCUUGCACAAUGGGCGAAAGCCUGAUGCAGCAACGCCGCGUGAAGGAUGAAGGCCUUCGGGUUGUAAACUUCUGUUCUAAGGGAAGAAAGAAAUGACGGUACCUUAGGAGCAAGCCCCGGCUAACUACGUGCCAGCAGCCGCGGUAAUACGUAGGGGGCAAGCGUUAUCCGGAAUUAUUGGGCGUAAAGAGUGCGUAGGUGGUUACCUAAGCGUCAAGGUUUAUAUUAGAGGCUCAACCU
rnacentral:rRNA from 1 species